UACGAAGGGUGCAAGCGUUAAUCGGAAUUACUGGGCGUAAAGCGCGCGUAGGUGGUUCAGUAAGUUGGAAGUGAAAUCCCCGGGCUCAACCUGGGAACUGCUUUCAAAACUGCUGAGCUAGAGUACGGUAGAGGGUGGUGGAAUUUCCUGUGUAGCGGUGAAAUUCGUAGAUAUAGGAAGGAACACCAGUGGCGAAGGCGACCACCUGGACUGAUACUGACACUGAGGUGCGAAAGCGUGGGGAGCAAACAGG
rnacentral:rRNA from 1 species